rnacentral:rRNA from 1 species
ACGUACACUCCUACGGGAGGCAGCAGUGGGGAAUAUUGGACAAUGGGCGCAAGCCUGAUCCAGCCAUGCCGCGUGAGUGAUGAAGGCCCUAGGGUUGUAAAGCUCUUUCACCGGUGAAGAUAAUGACGGUAACCGGAGAAGAAGCCCCGGCUAACUUCGUGCCAGCAGCCGCGGUAAUACGAAGGGGGCUAGCGUUGUUCGGAUUUACUGGGCGUAAAGCGCACGUAGGCGGACUAUUAAGUCAGGGGUGAAAUCCCGGGGCUCAACCCCGGAACUGCCUUUGAUACUGGUAGUCUUGAGUUCGAGAGAGGUGGGUGGAAUUCCGAGUGUAGAGGUGAAAUUCGUAGAUAUUCGGAGGAACACCAGUGGCGAAGGCGGCUCACUGGCUCGAUACUGACGCUGAGGUGCGAAAGCGUGGGGAGCAAACAGGAGUAGAAACCCGGGUAGUCCCA